AGAGUUUGAUCCUGGCUCAGAACGAACGCUGGCGGCGUGGAUAAGACAUGCAAGUCGGACGAGGAAUUACAUGAAGCUUGCUUUGAGUAAUUCCUAGUGGCGAACGGGUGAGUAACACGUGAGCAACCUGCCCAGAAGCAGGGGAUAGCCCACCGAAAGGUGGAUUAAUACCGUAUGUGAUCCCGCGGAGCAUUCCGUGGUGAUUAAAGGCGGGGAUCCUUCGGGACCUGCCACUUCUGGAUGGGCUCGCGGCCUAUCAGCUAGUUGGUGAGGUAAAAGCUCACCAAGGCGACGACGGGUAGCUGGUCUGAGAGGAUGAUCAGUCACACUGGAACUGAGACACGGUCCAGACACCUACGGGUGGCAGCGGUCGAGAAUCAUUCACAAUGGGCGAAAGCCUGAUGGUGCGACGCCGCGUGGAGGAUGACAGCUCUAGGGUUGUAAACUCCUGUCAUGAGAGAGUAAAGGCUUGCCGUUAAUAGCGGUCGGGUCCUGAUAGUAUCUCAAGAGGAAGGGACGGCUAACUUCGUGCCAGCAGCCGCGGUAAUACGAAGGUCCCAAGCGUUGUUCGGAAUCACUGGGCGUAAAGCGUGCGUAAGCCGCUUGGUAAGUCAGAUGUGAAAACCCACGGGCUCACCUUUGGAACUGCAUCCGAUACUGCCAAGCUAAAGUAGUGGAGGGGAGUCUGGAAAUCACGGU
rnacentral:rRNA from 1 species